rnacentral:rRNA from 1 species
UCAGCUCGUGCCGUGAGGUGUUGGGUUAAGUCCCGCAACGAGCGCAACCCUCAUUGUUAGUUACUACCAUUCAGUUGAGGACUCUAAUGAGACUGCCAACGACAAGUUGGAGGAAGGUGGGGAUGACGUCAAAUCAUCAUGCCCUUUAUGACCUGGGCUACAAACGUACUACAAUGGCCAAUACAAAGAGAUGCGAAGCGGUGACGUGGAGCGAACCUCAGAAAGUUGGUCUCAGUUCAGAUUGAAGUCUGCAACUCGACUUCAUGAAGGCGGAAUCGCUAGUAAUCGCGGGUCAGCAGACCGCGGUGAAUACGUUCCCGGGCCUU